rnacentral:snRNA from 1 species
AUGCGUCCUGGUCGGAUGCGGAA